GCCGACGUAGCUCAAUACGGCAGAGCAACUCACUUGUAAUGAGUAGGUUAUGGGUUCAAGUCCCAUCGUCGGCUCAA
rnacentral:tRNA from 1 species